AAGGGAGACAAGCAUCCCCUCUGCAGAGCUGUUAGGAGGAAGGAAGAAUUAUCUCUAAGAUAAUCAUCCAAAUGGAGAACUAAAGUAUAUGUACAAAAUUUAGUAAGAUGAUGGUGAUGUACCAACUCAAGUGGAACUCCAGUGAUGGAAUCUUGUCAUCAUUUCCCAUAAACUGUCAACCAAUCGCUCUCUGAAAUGCAAGAUGUCAAUUGUGAAGGCAGAAGACAACUUGAGCCAAUGUAACUCUGAGAAGAUAAAUUUAGAGCAGAUCAUAGCACAAAGAAAAAAAAACAUUACAAAGAAGGCACAUAGUACAAAAAGACAUCAAUCACCUGC